rnacentral:sRNA from 1 species
GUUUAGCCCAGAUUGAAACGACAUCCUUUUUUCUUAGUUCGAGUGAAUUUGCCUUUUUGCAAAUUUGUAUCGAGAACUCAGAAAAAAGAUAUAGUGGAAAGCUGGAAAUAGC